GACGAACGCUGGCGGCGUGCUUAACACAUGCAAGUCGAACGGAAAGGCCCUGCUUUUGUGGGGUGCUCGAGUGGCGAACGGGUGAGUAACACGUGAGUAACCUGCCCUUGACUUUGGGAUAACUUCAGGAAACUGGGGCUAAUACCGGAUAGGAGCUCCUGCUGCAUGGUGGGGGUUGGAAAGUUUCGGCGGUUGGGGAUGGACUCGCGGCUUAUCAGCUUGUUGGUGGGGUAGUGGCUUACCAAGGCUUUGACGGGUAGCCGGCCUGAGAGGGUGACCGGCCACAUUGGGACUGAGAUACGGCCCAGACUCGUACGGGAGGCAGCAGUGGGGAAUAUUGCACAAUGGGCUGAAGCCUGAUGCAGCAACGCCGCGUGCGGGAUGACGGCCUUCGGGUUGUAAACCGCUGUCGCCUGUGACGAAGCGUGAGUGACGGUAAUGGGUAAAGAAGCACCGGCUAACUACGUG
rnacentral:rRNA from 1 species